rnacentral:rRNA from 1 species
GGCUCAGAAAGAAAGCUGGCGGCGUGCUCCACCAUGCAAGUCGAACGAACCUUCGGGUUAGUGGCGGACGGGUGAGUAACGCUUGCCCAAUCUGCCCUCAGGAGGGGGAUAACGGUUGGAAACGACCGCUAAUACCCCAUAUGCCGAGAGGUGAAAAGAAAUUCGCCUGAGGAUGAGCUCGCGUCUGAUUAGCUAGUUGGUGUGGUAAUGGCGCACCAAGGCUUCGAUCAGUAGCUGGUCUGAGAGGAUGAUCAGCCACACUGGGACUGAGACACGGCCCAGACUCCUACGGGAGGCAGCAGUGGG